GGGCCCGCACAAGCAGCGGAGCAUGUGGUUAAUUCGAUGCAACGCGAAGAACCUUACCAGGGCUUGACAUGCACUGGAAAUCCGUAGAAAUACGGCCCUCCUUCGGGACCAGUGCACAGGUGGUGCA
rnacentral:rRNA from 1 species